rnacentral:rRNA from 1 species
UGGAGUAUGUGGUUAAUUCGAUGCAACGCGAAGAACCUUACCUGGUCUUGACAUCCCGGAGACCCUUAGGGAACUAGGGGGUGCUUCCAUCUGGAAGAAUCUGGAGACAGGUGCUGCAUGGCUGUCGUCAGCUCGUGUCGUGAGAUGUUGGGUUAAGUCCCGCAACGAGCGCAACCCUUGCCUUUAGUUGCCAGCAAUUCGGCUGGGCACUCUAAGGGGACUGCCGGUGUUAAACCGGAGGAAGGUGGGGAUGACGUCAAGUCCUCAUGGCCUUUAUGACCAGGGCUACACACGUACUACAAUGGCCGAUACAAAGGGCAGCGACACUGCGAGGUGAAGCCAAUCCCGUAAAAUCGGUCUCAGUCCGGAUUGGAGUCUGCAACUCGACUCCAUGAAGUUGGAAUCGCUAGUAAUCGUGGAUCAGCAUGCCACGGUGAAUACGUUCCCGGGCCUU